rnacentral:rRNA from 1 species
GGGGUACACGAGUGGCGAACGGGUGAGUAACACGUGGGUGACCUGCCCUGUACUUCGGGAUAAGCCUGGGAAACUGGGUCUAAUACCGGAUAUGACCUUCUCCUGCAUGGGGGUUGGUGGAAAGUUUUUGCGGUACAGGAUGGGCCCGCGGCCUAUCAGCUUGUUGGUGGGGUAAUGGCCUACCAAGGCGACGACGGGUAGCCGGCCUGAGAGGGCGACCGGCCACACUGGGACUGAGACACGGCCCAGACUCCUACGGGAGGCAGCAGUGGGGAAUAUUGCACAAUGGGCGAAAGCCUGAUGCAGCGACGCCGCGUGAGGGAUGACGGCCUUCGGGUUGUAAACCUCUUUCAGUAGGGACGAAGCGCAAGUGACGGUACCUACAGAAGAAGCACCGGCCAACUACGUGCCAGCAGCCGCGGUAAUACGUAGGGUGCGAGCGUUGUCCGGAUUUACUGGGCGUAAAGAGCUCGUAGGCGGUUUGUCACGUCGUCUGUGAAAACCCGAGGCUUAACCUCGGGCCUGCAGGCGAUACGGGCAGACUUGAGUACUGUAGGGGAGACUGGAAUUCCUGGUGUAGCGGUGGAAUGCGCAGAUAUCAGGAGGAACACCGGUGGCGAAGGCGGGUCUCUGGGCAGAUCUGACGCUGAGGAGCGAAGCGUGGAUAGCGAACAGGAUAGAUACCCUGGUAGUCCACGCCGUAACGGGGGUACUAGGUGUGGGUUUCUUCCACGGGAUCCGUGCCGAGCUAACGCAUAAGUACCCGCCUGGGGAGACGGCCGCAAGCUAAACUCAAAGAAUUGACGGGGCCCGCACAGCGGGGACAUGUGUUUAUUCGAUGCACGCGAAAACCUUA